GAGUAUAAGCAUGCAAGUGGAAGUGUGCACUGCCUCCUGAGAGGAGAAACUCCUUAUUUACAGCGGGAUGCGGGAACUAGAGAUGGAUGCUGGGUGUGUUGUUUUUGUCUGUGGAUACGGAGUGCUCCGGGCAACCCGAACUGCUCGUUAGGCUCCAGCUCUCUGGCAACCUAUAGGUCUUAAAGGGUCAGCACCCUCUACCAUCGCUCCGGCCAAUUUACCUCAUUCAGUUCACCUGCUGCUGUUAACUAGCUUCAGGUCAUCUCACCUGAAUCUCUGCUUAUUUAUCCCUGCCUCCCACAGUCACUCACUGCCAGAUUGUCCCCUGUGUGGGUAGUCAGCCAGCAUUUAGAGUUUGCAUCGCCUGUUUUGACCAGUUUCUGUUUUUGGAUUCGCUGUCUGCCUUGCCCUUGUUGGAUACCUCAUCGGCCUUCUGAUUUCUGGACGUGACUUUGCACUGCACUCUGACCACGAUUCCUGCCCAGCCCCUUUGUUCUUGUCUGCCUGUCUCUGUCAUCAUCAUCUGUUCAAGUCUGCCUAUUAUCAACUGCGACUCUGCAAUAAACCUGUUUAAAGGCGCAACACCGUCUUCUGGCUCAUUUCGUACCAGUCAUAACAAGAUCUGCUGAGCUAUGAAAGAAAACAAGAAAAAGAUUGCCAUCAACUCAAACGGGAAAAGAGCCAAGAGAGAAAAGAUAAUCAGUGACGUUUCAGUCAUCCACUCCUACCUGUGCCACAUCGACCAGAGAAACAGCAUCUCAGGGAUUGGCUUCAACAACCAUCUCAGAGAGUGCAGCCAGAGGUACUGACGGACGCUGACACAUGGUCCAAUUUCUACCUACUACUAGUAGUACUACUACUGCUACUAUGCUACUACUACUACUGGUACUAAUGAUGUUCGCUGAGUUCAAUUCUGAAUCUCAGUUCAGACUUGUAAAGCGAGUGAAACUCAGUUAUGGUGUUGAAUAUACAAACACUCCAGUGAUAAUGAAAUGCAGCUAUUUUUUGCUCCAGAGCAAAGGAAAUGAAUGUCUCUGAGUAUCUAAUGUUGUACUUUCAGCCAAGUGUAAUAAAAUCUGACUGUCUAAUGCUACAAGCUACAGGCACCAAGGGAAUGCCCAUCACAGCAGGGUGCCUGCUGAAACUGUAAGACUUAGGUCCCCAGACUCAUCGUCCUCUUUUUUCACCUGCUGCUCGGAGCAGCAUAAGGGAGACACUCUCAUCUCUUUUUUCGUGGACCGUGAAGGCAUCUGCACUGGAGAGACCAUGUACAGGCUGAACCCAGCUAAGUACAGUCUGCCUUCUUCAACAUCGGGAUCUAAACAGACGACCGCCACAGAACGGGGCUGUGUGUGUCAUCUUUCUCAGCUUUUGCAGGAAAGCUGAGCCGAGACUGCAUGAAGCGGUGUCCCGUGGCUGGACUGUGCCUAAAUACGUGGGGGCCUCCACAACACCGCACACAGCCAUGCUAGAAAAUCCUUGCCGAGUUCCCCACAGCGUUGAAGUUCCUACGGCCAGAGAACCCACAGAGGAAUGAGAGCCGCUUGCUCGUAGCACCUGUCCGAACUAGCUUCACCCCGGAGCAACUUCGUGCAAUCAAACGCCCCAAAGUCGACCGAAUGGACACAGAGGCAGAAGUUUAGCAGAGUUAAGCAGGAAUGGUUAGGAUGGGAAUAAUUGUUUAAAUGGUUUACUUUUAAUGUGCUUUUACUGUUUUGUUUUUAAAGUUUGACUUAGGUAAACAGACCUGGAGCUUACAGGCUGAAUCAAAAGUCCACAAAGAACUUAAGAAUCAGGAGUUUUCUGGGGUUACUAUUACUUUUGACGUUACUUCAACAUUGUCUAAGGUUAUUCCGUGAAGCAGCCAGAAAAGAGAAAAGGCAGCAAAGAAAAGAUCCACGGAAAAUGAAUACACACAAGGGCAGAUAAUACAGAACGUUUCAUGCUAAUGCUCUACAGGAAUCUUCACUGAGGUCAGAAUAACCAUCUUUGCUCUGUGAUCACAUCAUCUAGUGAUCUUUGUAUUUUCCUUUGCACCAAUGCCUCUAAUGGUACAUGACUGA